rnacentral:rRNA from 1 species
GAUGAACGCUGGCGGCGUGCUUAACACAUGCAAGUCGAACGAAGCAUUUAGAACAGAUUACUUCGGUUUGAAGUUCUUUAUGACUGAGUGGCGGACGGGUGAGUAACGCGUGGGUAACCUGCCUUGUACUGGGGGAUAGCAGCUGGAAACGGCUGGUAAUACCGCAUAAGCGCACAAUGUUGCAUGACAUGGUGUGAAAAACUCCGGUGGUAUAAGAUGGACCCGCGUCUGAUUAGCUAGUUGGUGAGAUAAUAGCCCACCAAGGCGACGAUCAGUAGCCGACCUGAGAGGGUGACCGGCCACAUUGGGACUGAGACACGGCCCAGACUCCUACGGGAGGCAGCAGUGGGGAAUAUUGCACAAUGGAGGAAACUCUGAUGCAGCGACGCCGCGUGAGUGAAGAAGUAAUUCGUUAUGUAAAGCUCUAUCAGCAGGGAAGAUAGUGACGGUACCUGACUAAGAAGCGCCGGCUAAAUACGUG